CCCACUGCAUCCCAAAACCAGUCCAACCUGUCUCUGCCUCCCUAACCUGUUCUUCCUCUCAGCCAUCCCUUCCUCCCACCCCAAGCCGCACCCCCAGCUACCUACUAACCUCAUCCCACCUCCUUGACCUGUCCGUCUUCCCUGGACUGACCUUUUCUCUCCUCUCCACCUUCGGUCCGCCUCCCCCUCUCUCCCUAUUUAUUCCAGUUCCCUCUCCCCGUCCCCCUCUCUGAUGAAGGGUCUAGGCCCGAAACGUCAGCUUUUGUGCUCCUGAAAUGCUGCUUGGCCUGCUGUGCUCAUCCAGCCUCACAUUUUAUUAUUUUAGGAGAGAGAGAGCUGUUUUGGUUUGUGAUACAAGAGACGAGGCUGUCUAUGCCUUUCACCCAUCGGUAGCUCUCCUCCUGUCCCUGCCUCUAUGCACACACUCUGCCAGGCAUAGUCUUCCUCCCUCUGUGUGUGUGUGUGUGUCUCUCUCGCUUCAGCUCCUAAAACCUAAGAUGCAUCGGAUAUAAAAACACGCACAUAAACACACACACACACACACACACACACACACACACACACAUACAUCAACAAGCCAUGGAGAAAGAUCAGGAAUUACUGCAAGCUGUCAAAACCGAAGAUGUAGCUGCAAUGCAGAAGCUCUUGCAAAGGCCGAAACAAGGCAAAGCGAGACACAAUCAUCGCCUUGGAAGCUUCAUCACGAUACUACUUUGCAUUUCUGAAGAGGGAAGAAGAAAUCAACAUGAAAAUUCAGUUCCAUGGUUUUGGAAGUCCCAUUGAGAACACGAUUCAUUUGCGCCGGCAUAAUGCUCUGACCGAGAAAGAAUUGAAGUUUCCACUUGGAAGAAAGAUUCACAUCAAAUUGACUGGUCAAGGAAAUGGGAC